AAAAGUGCCUAUAAAUAGAUAGAUAUGAAUUCACAAUGUAGACGCAACAUUUCAACUGGCUUUCCACAACAAAGGAAGACUGAAGAGCGAGAACACUCGACCAUUUUAAAGCAGGAUUACCUCGAGCAGAAUUUGGCAUUCACACAAUCUCGGACGAUGAGAUGAAGGCAUAUAUAGAUCUACAUGGAAUUCCAAAUAUCAUUGGACCAGUACGAUUUAUAGGAACAUCUGUAACACGACUUGGUCCCUCACAACAAAAUGCUACAAGACAAGCAAUUAGGUUAGACAAGCAAUUAGGUUCCUUCAACAAACAUACAAUAUAAACGUCGGAGAUUAUAACUACUACCCACAGAAAUUAGAAGAACGUAACCACCAACAACUAUAACAAAUGUCAAAUAAAUUUACAAAACUUAAGCUCCAGAACAUCUUUUAUAUAUAUAUAUAUAUAUAUGUAUAUGUGUGUGUGUGUGUGUUAUCUUUUUAAAUACAAUAUGUAAAUGUUUGUAGUUAAAAUAAAAACAACCACAAUAUUGUACGUAUUUUCUGUAUCUACAGUUCUAAUAAAAUAAUGUUAUUUAUAAAUA